UACGGAGGGUGCAAACGUUGCUCGGAAUCAUUGGGCGUAAAGCGCACGUAGGCGGCUUUCUAAGUCGGGGGUGAAAUCCUGGAGCUCAACUCCAGAACUGCCUUCGAUACUGGAAAGCUCGAGUCCGGGAGAGGUGAGUGGAACUGCGAGUGUAGAGGUGAAAUUCGUAGAUAUUCGCAAGAACACCAGUGGCGAAGGCGGCUCACUGGCCCGGUACUGACGCUGAGGUGCGAAAGCGUGGGGAGCAAACAGG
rnacentral:rRNA from 1 species